ACUCAUCCUCCACACCACUGUCACUGUGUGGGGAGCCCACUCAUCCUCCACACCCCCGUCACUGUGUGGGGAGCCCAGUCCCACUCAUCCUCCACACCCCCGUCACUGUGUGGGGAGCCCAGGCCCACUCAUCCUCCACACCCCCAUCACUGUGUGGCGAGCCCAGUCCCACUCAUUCUCCACACCCCUGUCACUGUGUGGGGAGCCCAGGCCCACUCAUCCUCCACACCCCUGUCACUGUGUGGGGAGCCCAAUCCCCCGGGUCUGCUCACCACCUCACCACCCCUGCAUGUGGUAACUGUGAGCGGCCAAGUAUUUUGUCUGUUGCUCUAAAGCGGAAAGGUGGACUAAACGGGUCCGGAGCAGGUUGACAUAGAACAAAGUUCUCUAUGGAGGGCUUUUCUCUUCUCCUGCAUGCCCACACAACCAAGGAGGAUCUGACAAGGAUACACACAUCUUUACAGGAAUAAGGAAAACAAGGGUCUCAGGUUCCAGGAUCCAGGCCCCUGUUUUUCCACUGGGGGUUUGAGACCAGAGGAGAGGGAAGAAGAGGAGGAGUAUGACGAAGAAGCCAGUGAGGUCCACAGGAUGAUGGUUUAGACCAGAGCUGUGAUCUCACUCCUGCUGACCCCCUACUGAACAGUACUGUACACAGCAGCGUCAGUCUACGCCUCUCACAAGGCUCCCUAGAGAGACUAGACAUCACCAACACGGAGGAAGAGGAGAGGAGCUCGGGUCUAUCUGAGGGGCCAGCUUAUGAUAUGGUUCUAGAGUAUUUGGCUUGCCAGUACCCGAUAUCGUGAGAUAGACUGUGGAUGCCUGACAACCUGCAGCAGAGCCCCCCUGAACCCAGACAGUGAGUGGGAUCUGGGAGGUAGUGUGAGUUUGGCUUGUCUCCUGCUCCUCUGUUGUCAAGACCCAGUCCCAGAGCAUCAUAGACCCUCACCACAUCCCAGAGGACAGUGAGACCAGAGACAGACAGUGGGUUUGGGAGCUCUGAUCUGAGUCGCCCAGCCACAGGACGAUCCCAACCAAAACUUCAUACAGAAAGGCUCCAGUUCCAGUCUGAUGGGGCCUCCAGUCCUGUGAGAAUGAGUGACAGCGAAGGCUCCUGCUCCAACCUGCAGACCACUAUCCAUCUGACUGGGGAUAUUGGAGAGAGGAGACCCAGUCUGCAGACCACUAUCCAUCUGACUGGAGAUAUUGGAGAGAGGAGACCCAGUCUGCAGACUACUAUCCAUCUGACUGGGGAUAUUGGAGAGAGGAGACCCAGUCUGCAGACUACUGUCUAUCUGACUGGGGAUAUUGGAGAGAGGAGACCCAGUCUGCAGACCACUAUCCAUCUGACUGGGGAUAUUGGAGAGAGGAGACCCAGUCUGCAGACUACUAUCCAUCUGACUGGAGAUAUUGGAGAGAGGAGACCCAGUCUGCAGACCACUAUCCAUCUGACUGGGGAUAUUGGAGAGAGGAGACCCAGUCUGCAGACUACUGUCUAUCUGACUGGGGAUAUUGGAGAGAGGAGACCCAGUCUGCAGACCACUAUCCAUCUGACUGGAGAUAUUGGAGAGAGGAGACCCAGUCUGCAGAUGCCUCCUCAGUUGUGCAGGACUGCAGUGGACUACUGGCUGACCAGACCUACUCAGAGUGUACCUGUUAAACUGCAUGUGAGGCGAUGCAGGUCCUACAUUCGGAGGUGUCCCAACUGAGGAGAGACCUGGAAGAGGGUCUGGUCCAGCUGCCUCACCUCUCCCAGAGGAUGGACUACCUUACCUCCAGAUACAGACAGAACAGAAGGCUUAAAACCUCUCCCAGAGGAUGGACUACCUUACCUCCAGAUACAGACAGAACAGAAGGCUUAUAACCUCUCCCAGAGGAUGGACUACCUUACCUCCAGAUACAGACAGAACAGAAGGCUUAAAACCUCUCCCAGAGGAUGGACUACCUUACCUCCAGAUACAGACAGAACAGAAGGCUUAAAACCUCUCCCAGAGGAUGGACUACCUUACCUCCAGAUACAGACAGAACAGAAGGCUUAAAACCAAGCUGUUGAUUCCUGCUAGUGCCAAUGUGUAAUUUAGUAUUAGUUCGGUUUGCAUGUAAUUGAGAUAUUGCUUAUAUUAGCAUGUAAUGUUAGUCAUUGUAAAUGUAAUCUUGGUUAACCCAGAACUAAAGUCUUACGUUAUUGGUCAGAUGCUCAAUGAAGUUCUUGGUCCAUACAUGUUAAGAGAAGUGAUGAAGAGAUGCUAGAAUGAGGAGUGGAACCAGAGUGAGGAGCUCCACCCUCUCUCUUUGUAUAGACAGUGUGGAGUCGGACCGCUCUGAGAACAUGCUGCCAUUCCACAGUACACCACUAGGUGUCAGGAGAGGGAGCAGCAAGCCCUACUCCUGCUAGGACAGACCAGGGAAAACCCAAAGCAAAAAACCCUCCAAUACAGUUUGCAGAAUUUGCCUUAAAGUUAUCUUCGGUGGUCCUGAAGGUAGUUGUGUGUGCUUCUCCAUCCAUCUUACCAUCCGAGAACUGUUCUCUGGAGACCUCCAAUCUCACCCACUCCAGUCCUCCAGCAUUCCAGCACUCAUACAAGAACCCAAGCUACAGAUCUCCAUGUAAGGACCAGCAACCAGUCCACUCCUGCCCAUAUGACACUGUCAUGACUGGGCCUCAUCAUGACUACUUUAUUCAUUUCAUUAUCACGUCACAAUUUAAAGAUGCACUAUGCAGAAAUCAAAGGCCAAGGAGAAGAACAGCACCCAGUGUUGUCUACUCCUACACUAUAUUCUCUCACUCACUCACUCACUCACUCACUCACUCACUCACUCACUCACUCACUCACUCACUCAC
rnacentral:lncRNA from 1 species